rnacentral:rRNA from 1 species
CAGCCGCCGCGGUAAUACGUAGGUGGCAAGCGUUGUCCGGAAUUAUUGGGCGUAAAGCGCGCGCAGGCGGAUCGGUCAGUCUGUCUUAAAAGUUCGGGGCUUAACCCCGUGACGGGAUGGAAACUGCCAAUCUAGAGUAUCGGAGAGGAAAGUGGAAUUCCUAGUGUAGCGGUGAAAUGCGUAGAUAUUAGGAAGAACACCAGUGGCGAAGGCGACUUUCUGGACGAAAACUGACGCUGAGGCGCGAAAGCCAGGGGAGCGAACGGGAUUAGAUACCCGCGUAGUCCCUGUCUCUUAUACA